rnacentral:tRNA from 1 species
GCUCCUUUAGCUCAGUUGGUAGAGCGUCAGUCUCAUAGGUUAUUACGAUAAGUUAUCUGAAGGUCGAGAGUUCGAACCUCCCAGGGAGCA